CAGUAGCCGCGGUAAUACAGAGGGUGCGAGCAUUAAUCGGAUUUACUGGGCGUAAAGCGUGCGUAGGCGGCUUUUUAAGUCGGAUGUGAAAUCCCUGAGCUUAACUUAGGAAUUGCAUUCGAUACUGGGAAGCUAGAGUAUGGGAGAGGAUGGUAGAAUUCCAGGUGUAGCGGUGAAAUGCGUAGAGAUCUGGAGGAAUACCGAUGGCGAAGGCAGCCAUCUGGCCUAAUACUGACGCUGAGGUACGAAAGCAUGGGGAGCAAACAGGAUUAGAUACCCCCGUAGUCCCUGUCUCUUAUAC
rnacentral:rRNA from 1 species